rnacentral:rRNA from 1 species
GGAUAAGGUAGGGAAACUUACGCUAAUACCGGAUACGCCCUACCUGUGAAAGCAGGGGAUCUUCGGACCUGGGUUGAUUGAAUGAGCCGAUGUCGGAUUAGCUAGUUGGCGGGGUAAAGGCCCACCAAGGCGACGAUCCGUAGCUGGUCUGAGAGGAUGAUCAGCCACACUGGAAAUGAGACACGGUCCAGACUCCUACGGGAGGCAGCAGUGGGGAAUAUUGGACAAUGGGCGCAAGCCUGAUCCAGCCAUACCGCGUGGGUGAAGAAGGCCUUCGGGUUGUAAAGCCCUUUUGAUGGGAAAGAAAUCCAGCCGGCUAAUACCUGGUUGGGCGGACGACACCCACGGAAUACUCACCGGCUAACUUCGUGCCAGCAGCGGCGGUAAUACGAAGGGUGCACGCGUUACUCGGAAUUACUGGGCGUAAAGCGCGCGCGGGUGGUCGUUUAAGUCGGUUGUGAAAGCCCUGGGCUCCACAUGGGGACUGCAGUGGAUACUGGACGACUAGAGCGUGGUAGAGGGUAGCGGAAUUCCCGACAGCAGUGAAAUGCGUGUAGAUCUGGAGGAACAUCCAUGGCGAAGGCAGCUACCUGGACCAACACUGACACUGAGGCACGAAAGCGUGGGGAGCAAACAGGAUUAGAUACCCUGGUAGUCC